rnacentral:rRNA from 1 species
UACGUAGGGCGCAAGCGUUGUCCGGAAUUAUUGGGCGUAAAGAGCUCGUAGGCGGUUUGUCGCGUCUGCUGUGAAAACUCGAGGCUCAACCUCGGGCUUGCAGUGGGUACGGGCAGACUAGAGUGCGGUAGUGGUGACUGGAAUUCCUGGUGUAGCGGUGGAAUGCGCAGAUAUCAGGAGGAACACCGAUGGCGAAGGCAGGUCACUGGGCCGCAACUGACGCUGAGGAGCGAAAGCAUGGGGAGCGAACAGG